rnacentral:misc_RNA from 1 species
GAUGAAGAACGUAGCGAAAUGCGAUACUUGGUGUGAAUUGCAGAAUCCCGUGAACCAUCGAGUCUUUGAACGCAAGUUGCGCCCGAAGCCAUUAGGCCGAGGGCACGCCUGCCUGGGCGUCACACGUCGUUGCCCCCCCAUCUACUCCUUCGGGAUUGCGGGGGGCGGAUGAUGGCCUCCCGUGCGCCUCGUCGCGCGGUUGGCAUAAAUGCCAAGUCCUCGGCGACGCACGCCACGACAAUCGGUGGUUGCGAAACCUCGGUUGCCAGUCGUGUGCGGUCGUCGCGCAUCGAGGGCUCGAAAAAAUUGCCGGGCUCCGGCUCGGCUUUCAACGCGACCCCAGGUCAGGCGGGGUUACCCGCUGAAUUUAAGCAUAUCAAUAAGCGGAGGA